UCCACGCCCUCUCUCACUCAAGCUUUCAUUGCACCCUCUCUCUGGUGAACCUCUGCAAAGCUAUGCCGUCGCAGUUGCUCCCUCAACUCUCUCCGCCAAAGCUCUAUGUGGAGGUCCUAGAAAGUGGAGAACAGAUAGGCUUAAAGCACUUUAGACCAAUUAAACCAUUGGGAUCAGGAGAUACGUACUGGCAGGUUUUUUUUACCCCUAUUUCUCUAUUGCAUUUCCCUGUUUCUCAAUUGCUUGUACUGGUAGCAUAAUUAAUUGUCGAGUGUGAAACAAAUUGUAAUCACACGAUUAUAAUGUUGUAUACAGACACAUAUGACUGACAUAUUAUUUUAAGGUUUCGUCAUUUCAAAAAAUAAUUCUAGCUUUUAUUUAAUGGAGCUUCUGCAUAUACAAGAACCUUAUAGAUGAAUUAGUCUUUCUAGUUAACUGAAAAUUCAAAGUGAGCUCAAUUAAAAUUUCUUCAUUGAUUUGGGAGAUAGACAGUUUCUUUCUGUUUCAUUAUUUUCAAAAGCAAAGCUUCUGUGGCAGUGAUAUUGAUUUAUUAUUGGUUUGUAUGUGCAUCUGGUGGAGCUACGUGGAACUGGUCAAUAUUUUGCAUGAAGGCUAUGGAUAAGGGUGUUAUGCUUAAUCGUAAUAAGGUGCAUAGAGCUUGCGCAGAGAGAGAAAUUCUUGACAAGUUGGACCACCCUUUUCUACCUGCAUUAUAUGCUUCCUUUUAGAUUUUAUGCAGCAGAGGUAGUGAUCGCAUUGGAGUACCUUCAUUGCCAAGGUAGACUCUUAUUUGGCUUUUAUAUAUAUAUAUAUAUAUAUAUAUAUAUAUAUAUAUAUAUAUAUAUAUAUAUAUAUAUAUAUAUAUAUAUAUAUAUAUGCAUCACCACCAUAACCAUGGUUCUCUGCUUCUCUUUUAA